rnacentral:rRNA from 1 species
GACGUAGGGCGCGAGCGUUGUCCGGAUUUAUUGGGCGUAAAGAGCUCGUAGGCGGUUUGUCGCGUCUGCUGUGAAAACUCGGGGCUUAACCCCGGGCCUGCAGUGGGUACGGGCAGACUAGAGUGCGGUAGGGGAGACUGGAAUUCCUGGUGUAGAGGUGAAAUUCGUAGAUAUUCGCAAGAACACCAGUGGCGAAGGCGGCUCACUGGCCCAGUACUGACGCUGAGGUGCGAAAGCGUGGGGAGCAAACAGGG